UGGUCAAGUUAUUAAGGGUGCAGGGCGGAUGCCUUGGCACUAGGAGCCGAUGAAGGACGUGAUAAGCUGCGAUAAGCUUCGGGGAGUUGCACGUAAACUUUGAUCCGAAGAUUUCCGAAUGAGGAAACUCACUUAGAGUAAUGUCUAAGUAUCAUUAAGUGAAUACAUAGCUUAAUGAGGGGAACUCAGGGAACUGAAACAUCUAAGUACCUGAAGGAAGAGAAAGAAAUUCGAUUCCGUAAGUAGCGGCGAGCGAACGCGGAUUAGCCCAAACCAAUAAAGUUUUCUUUAUUGGGGUUGCGGACAUAUCAUAACGAAGAGGUAUCGUAAUUGAAGAGGUUUGGAAAGACCCACCACAGAAGGUAAUAGUCCUGUAUGUUAAACGAGAAGACUUCAGAUAUGAUCCAGAGUACCACGGGACACGUGAAACCCUGUGGGAAGCAGGAGGGACCACCCUCCAAGGCUAAAUACUACCUAGUGACCGAUAGCGUAUAGUACCGUGAGGGAAAGGUGAAAAGAACCCCGGGAGGGGAGUGAAAUAGAACCUGAAACCCUGCACUUACAAGCUGUGGAAGCACAUUUCUUGUGUGACCGCGUACUUUUUGUAGAACGGGCCAACGAGUUACGUUAAGUAGCAAGGUUAAGCACUUAAGGUGCGGAGCCGUAGCGAAAGCGAGUUUUAACUGAGCGUUCAGUUACUUGACGUAGACCCGAAACCGGGCGACCUACCCAUGAGCAGGAUGAAGCGAAAGUAAAAUUUCGUGGAGGUCCGAACCCACGAGCGUUGAAAAGCUCGGGGAUGACUUGUGGAUAGCGGUGAAAUUCCAAUCGAGCCCGGAGAUAGCUGGUUCUCCCCGAAAUAGCUUUAGGGCUAGCCUCAAGGUGAGAGAUACGGAGGUAGAGCACUGAAUGUCCUAGGGGGUAUUGCACCUACCGAAGACUAUCAAACUCCGAAUGCCGUCAUCUUAUACUUGGGAGUCAGACUGUGGGUGAUAAGAUUCAUAGUCGAAAGGGCAACAGCCCAGAUCGUCAGCUAAGGUCCCUAAAUGUAAGUUAAGUGGUAAAGGAUGUGGGAUUGCACAGACAACCAGGAUGUUGGCUUAGAAGCAGCCACUCAUUCAAAGAGUGCGUAAUAGCUCACUGGUCGAGUGAUCCUGCGCCGAAGAUUUCCGGGGCUAAAACUUACUACCGAAGCUACGGCAUCAGUAAUGAUGGGUAGGGGAGCUUCCCAUACGGGUUGAAGCGUGACCGUAAGGACAUGUGGACAGUAUGGGAGUGAGAAUGUUGGCAUGAGUAGCGAGAUGUGGGUGAGAAUCCCACAGGCCGUAAACCCAAGGUUUCCAGGGGAAGGUUCGUCCGCCCUGGGUUAGUCGGGACCUAAGCUGAGGCCGAAAGGCGUAGGUGAUGGACAACAGGUUGAUAUUCCUGUACUACCGAUAACCGUUUGAGAGAAGGGAUGACACAGUAGGAUAAGCUAAGCACACUGUUGGUUAUGUGUGCCCAAGCAUUGAGG
rnacentral:rRNA from 1 species